ACUAUCGGGUAUAUAUAUUUAUAUGUGUGUUGUAACAUACCAGAUUUUGGUAUAAAAAUAAAAAUAAAUAAAAAUAGUGUGAGAUACUAUUUUUAUUGGAUUUAGAGAAGUAAAACAUAAGUCAGAAAUGACUUGUGCUGAAAUCGGAAUAAAAACAGAAGAUUUAGAAUUUUCUGUUGGAAACGGGACAGAUAAAUUAGCAGGAAAUUCACAGUGUUAGAAAAUUAUGAAAACUGGAGAAUAAGUCAGAAUUAUUUUUAUGAGGCUGGAUUUAAAGUUUCAUGCCAUUCUGACGCCCGGAAGGUGGAAAAUAAAAUCCGACAGUUAUCUGAUAAAGAUUGCAGUUCGGUACAGCUUUCGAUGAUCAAACGGGGUCGAAACUGAAAUAUUAAAAUUUUUUUGGACUCGUUAAGUAAAACCGAACAUGACUGCAAAUUUGAGCUCAAACAGAUAUUCUAGGAGCUCCGGCGAAAGAUAUCAGAUUUCGAGAUGACUAGAGUGAAUAGUGUUUGGUGUUGACUAUAAGUAGAAGCUAAUUAGCUUCUUCUUCUUCAUCACCACCUGUAAUAUACUGAAAAUUCGAAAAGUAAAUAUCGAACUUUAGUCAAAUUGACCAAAGUCCGAGAAUGGUACACUUCGGAAAGCCCGAAAGUGUUAAAAUGAGUAAAAGCGAGUUGUGGAAGGUUUUCGAGAGCUAAGGAAUCAAAAAUCUGCAAACUGCAGGAUUUCAGCUCUCGGGGACCGGUCCCUGAAGGAGAGACCGGUCCCCAAAUGCGUGUGAAAUGAGACAGCCAAAAUUUGGCUAAGUCCCUGAAGACCAGCUCUCGGGAACUGGUCCCUGCCUGAGAGAUCGGUCCCCUGGAGACCGGUCCCCCCAAAGAGAAACCGGUCGCAUCGCGCGCAACAGCUCUGGCUGCGCUAGGACGAGCUUCGGGAACCGGUCCCUGAUGGAGAGACCGGUCCCCGCCUGUGCGAACAGCCUAGUCCAGGCUGUGUGAAAGAGUAAAAGUUGAGAGGUUUAAUUGCAAUUUGGCAACCCAUAGAGUGUAGUAAGAGGGCAAAUGAGAUAUUUCUCUCAUUUCUCACCCUCUCACACUCUCUCCUCCCUUUCUCUCUCUAGAAGACAAGAAGGGGAAGAAGAAGACAAGGAAAAGAAGAAAAAGAAAAGGAGAAAGAAGGUGAAGGAGAGGCUAAGAAGUAAACCUACUUCCUCUUCUUCCUUUUUUGAGCAAGCUUUGAGGUAGGCCUUGCCCCUUCUCAUGGUAAAACCCAAGCUAGGGUUUGGAUUAGGCUAAGAAUUGGUUUUAUGGAACCAUUUGCGUAUCUGAAGCUUUCUUUUUGCUUCUUUUGAGAUCAAGACCAUGGCAUGAGUGUGGGAGGUGAAGCUUGAAGGAGAGCUCCACCACCUCUCAUGGUGAAACCCUAAGUAGGGUUUUGACUUGUCUAAAAAUGGUUCUAAUGGAUUUUUUAGAGUAUAAUGAAGCUAUUUUUGCUUCCCAAUGAGAUCAAACCCUAGGUUUGAUGAUACUAUGGAGCUAGGGCACCCAAAUUGGGGCAUUUGCUCAUGAGGAUUUUUAAGUGAAAUUGACCCUCUAGAAAUCUAAUUGGGGGUAUUUCCGACGCGUUGGUGCGCUCGGAUUAACGUUACGAAAAGUGUAUGUAAAGAUAUGGGCAAAAUGGCCUAAGUUGGCUUUGUUUUGCCGCAGGUGAAGAAUGAAGAGUCUAAAAAUCCCAAGAAAAUCGUCGGAGCACCUAAAUAAACCUACGAGGUAGGUGGUGCUUUUCAAACUUGUUGAACUUCCCUCUAUGCCUAAUGUGUCAUUCAAUUGAGCAUAUUCAUAUACAUUGUUGCAUGCAUUUUAGGGUAAUGUAAUGAUAAAAAUAUGAUGUUGCAUGAUUGUGAGCACAACUUGCAAAAUGUGAUGGUUAAGAACCUUAUGAAUGUCGAAAAUCCUAUAUGUAUGCAUGAGAGAAAAUGUGAGAACCUAAGUGAGGCAAAAGAACAGAGUGACACAUGACAUAGAUCGAGUGGCAUUCGGAAAUGUAAUGUAAAGUGACACUAGAGUUAGUGUGAGGCAAAUGAUCAAAGUGAUGUAAAGAAUGAUGACAAUGACUAAAGUUAAAGUAAGUGGGACGUAAAGAACGUAUAAAGAGUAAAGAACAUGAAUGCUAAAGAUAGCCAAAAGUAAGGAAAUGUAAAGAACGUAAUUGCUAGAGUUAGCAAAAGUAAAAGAAAUGUAAAGAAUAAUGAUUGCUAAAGUGGCAACAUAAAGUGAUGUAAAGAACACUAGAGCUAGUGUAAAGUCAAGAUUGAGCAUACAAUCCUUUGAGUUAAGGAUUUGAUCAUACUUGCUAUGAGUUCCGUGCUCGAGGGCGGUCGCUCCCCCUCGGGCGAUGCGCUCCGGAGUUAUGCAUCACGGGUUGGAGUAAACCCGAAGGACGGUCCUAGCGGGUGAGUUCCUACGAUGAUGGACUUAAUGUGAAGCAAGUUAAUGUGGCGAAACCCCUGGGUUAGCCUUGAGAUUAAAGAAUAAAGAACAAAGAGCAAAGAACAAAGGACAAAGACAAAGUGUAAAGUGUUAAGAACGAAAGAAUUUGCAUAAUCUGCAUAUGUUAAUGUUGAGCAUAUUUUCUGCUUAUUGUUCAGGCAUAUAGCAUCAUGUUAUAGAUUGGUUACUAUAUUCAGCUUAUCCCUUUCUAUAUGCCUGAGUUAGUCCUAGUGGGAAAGUCGGUGAUGUUGAGGCCGAACCCACUGGAAACUUUGUUGUAGUUUUAACCCCACUAUUUCUACAGAGUCGGGACCGAGUGAGCCGGCGAGCGACCGCGGUAAAGGUAUCGCACCUCAGACAGAGGCCACCGGAGUUGAGUUGGGUUUACAUUUUGUUAGUAGAGUACCCUAUGUUCAUCUUUUGUAUUUGAUGACUAGUGAUGUAAAGAAAAGAAUGUAAAGCUUAUUUUGAGGUAAAUGUGAUGUAAAAAGAAAUGAUGUAAUGAAAUGUAUAGAAGUUGGACUUAAUGUAUAUGAUCUAAAUUGAAUCAUAGUACAAGUGAAUGUUUAGUUUCCUAUCUCUCACUCAUGGCUAUUGCUUACCCUCGUGUAAGCCGUAUUUGUAUGUUUCCUCUAGUGCACUUCUUUUGAAAAUGUACAUGUGAUGAGCCUUGGGCGGACAGGGAAAACUCCGUCCAUUCGGCGUCUGUUUGACGUGCUCGGGCCGGCCCAAAUUGGUAUCGGUCCCGGGGCGUGACAGAUAUCGUGGUAUCAGAGCCAAGUGUGAAAGAAUAGGAAUGGACCUAGAGACCGUUAGGAUUGGAGGACCUUAAGGAUCUAGAAAACAUGAGUGACGUGGAAUUAAAGUUAGCGAAAGCAUGUGAUUGGAUUAAGUUGGCAUGUCUCUAAUGUGAUUAGAGGCUAAGUUAAAUUUUCAUUUGUUUCCUACUCCUUGCAUUGUGUCGGGCGGCCGACGACAUGAUGCAUGGGGCAAGAACAAAUGCAUGUUUGCUUUCGCCAGAUUGGGUAUGGUCGAGUAAUGUGGUCAAGUGGUUAACGUGUGUUGCUUCUUUUCAGGAAGCAAUGGCACGUCGUGGACGACCGCAGACAAGGUCGAUGUCGGAGGAGCCGAAUGAGGAGCCUGAGCGAUUCGGGGCAAGUGGCGACGGAGAGCUUAGGGAGCAAGUGGCCGCGCUUAUCGGAGUAGUGCGGCAACAGGCGGAGUCUGUUCGUAGCCAAGGGGAGCAGAUUCGGCGGCUCCAGGAGACUUUGGAGCGUCAGCAGGCGGCGGCGGCCCAGACGGGUAGCGAGCAUGUCGCGCCCCCUGUGGUAGUGCCAAGUGUAGACGAGUGAGCGGUGGCAGCGGCGGCUAUUCCAGUUACGAUAGUACCGACCGGAUCGGGAACCUCAAAUCCCGAUAGCGCGGCGGUAGAAGCGGAGCGAGAGCGCUCAUUGGCGGCUCUCAUUCAGUUUAAGAAGUUCGAACCACCUAUCUUCGACGGUGGAUUGGUGGAGCCGGCAGUUGUGGAGUCGUGGAUCGACUCGAUGGAGACCCUAUUCGAGGACCUUAAUACCUCGGGGAAGGAUAAAGUGUAUCUUGCCACCCAUUGCCUUGAGAAAGCGGCGCAAAUAUGGUGGAAGCGAGUGAAGCGGGAUCGUCCUACCGACCUUCCACUUAUGCUAUGGGAAGAGUUCAAGAGAGCGGUAUUCGCAAACUACUUCCCCGACACGGUGAAGCGGAGAUUGCAAGAAAAGUUCCGCAAGUUGCGGCAAGGUGUGACCGAUCGGUGGGGGAGUACGAGCAAGAAUUCUCCCACAUUAUUGACUGCGUUCCCGACGUUGUUCGUGAUGAUCGGGACCGGGCGGAUUGGUUCUUACGAGGACUCCAGCCCCGGAUUUAUGAGAAGGUGCAGAUCCUAAAGUUGUCAACCUAUGCGGAGGUCUUCGAUAGAGCAUUGUGGGCGGAGCACGGUAGCGCUCACGUGCGAGAGGAAUGGGAAGCUAUGGCCGAGUCUAAGGACAAGGGCAAGAAGCGAGCAGCGGGCGGUGUCCGGGGCCGGCCAAAUGCUAAUGUCACGCCCUGGGACCGCUACCAAUUUGGUCCGGUCCGGGUGAGUCGAACAGACGCCGAACGGACAGAACCUCUCCUGUCCGCCCAAGGCUAACCAACUGAUCAUGUAUAAGAAUUUACCCAGGAGAUCAAUUCAUAAAUACACGAUCCCAAGGAGCACCACCAGUGCUAACAAAACGAGAGCAAGAUACAAGUAUGAAACAUACAAGUACAUAAAGAGAGAAAGUUCUAUCUAUUGCAUUCAUUCAACUCAAUACGUAUAAUUCCAUCUUUUACAUUCUUCCAAAGCAUUGAGUACAAGCACUCUCAACCUCACCCUAUACAACAUCUACUCUCAAACAUAAAUACAGGGUAGAGCUAAUACAAAAAGGUAGGUAGCUAAUGCAACUAGAGCGCCGGGCCCUUACUGCGAUCCUCACGCUCGCCGGGGACACCCAAACUCGAACCUGAAAAGAGUGGGGUGAGAACUAUCUUCCAUAGUUCCCAGUGGGUUCGGCCGCCGACUCCGCCGGUCUCCCCACUAGGUCCAAGUGGACACGAGUAGAUAAACAAAUAGGUAGAUAUGAAAGCUGUAGAAACAGAUAGUAAACUACUCUACCAUGCCCGAAUCAUGAAAAUAAUGGAUGCAUGCACAAUGAAAUAGAUAAUCAACUAGCUCUUCAUAUGUCCAAGAAGUAAAGCUAUUUACUCGUUCAUUAACCUCACGGCUCAUUCAGGAUUUCUGCCUACUACUCAUAUAGCCAUCUCGAUACUACGAAUCCGAGACCGUCUGCGGGACCCCACAUAGGCUAUCCCUCGGGACCCCAAAUAGGCUAUCCCUAUCCCACGGGACCCCACAUAGGCUAUCCCUCGUGACCGACUCCGGAGCGCACUACUUGUGUGGAGCGACCAUCACAAGUUGGGAACAGACAAUGAGUAUGAUCCAAGAAUCCCACCUCAAGGGUACCCUAUCCUCUAGGGCUGCUAUCACCAUAGUCCAUGGGUUCUAUAUACACUACAACUCAUAAUGCCACUCGUUCUUUAUUUACUAACAACUAGGUGCCACUCGUUCUUUAGUUUAACCAUUUCAUCCUUCUGCUAUCGCUGCACUAUAGGAUUACAAGUCUCGACCCAAUCCUCAUCUAUCUACUAUAUCCAACAACUCAUACAUAAUAUGGUAUCAAAUAGGAAAGCAUAAGGAAAGGCGAUGCACAAUCAUCCUACAAUGCAUGCGACUACAAGAUGCAAGGUCUUAAGAUGCUAAGACAUAAAAGGGAGCCCGACUGCUUCGGGAUGGACACCACCCACCUCGUGGCAAUAUCGCUAUGACAGAAAACUCGACGCUGCGGUCCUUGCACGCCGCUUCGACUCAUCGGGGCGAAGCGAGCCCUCAAGUAUCUGAUUCAGCGAUUUCUCUGCACCCGCUCGUCGGAUCGAGAAACCGUCUUCGCCGACGCGUUUCGAGACCUAGCAAUUAGGUUUGCGACCUAUUAAAAUAGAUCAAAAUCCUAGAUUUCUGAAAUCCCAAAUCCGUGCCCUAGAAUAGCAACGAGGGAGAAAUCCAUGGUGUGAACUUCAAUUGCGAGCCCGAACUAUCUAUUUAUCUCCUCUAGGUUCCAUUCGAACCAUUCCUAAGCAAUAAAAACCCCAAACCCUAAAAAUACCAUUAAAGGGGUUUAGAGCUUACCUCUCUCUACAAAGCUUCAAGCUUGAGGGAGAGGGAGAGAAGAUGACCCUCUUCUUCUUCUUAGUCUUCUCCUUCUCUUUCUUCUUCUUUCUUCUCCUCUUUUCCUUCCUCUUCUUCUUCUUCUCCUUCUUUUUCUUUCUAGAGAGAGAGAGGGAAGAGUGUGAGAUGGAGAGAGAGCAAGUGAGAGGGAUAGAGAGGUCCCCAGCCUCUAUUAAAGGCCAUUUUGCAAAUAGCCCCCUCAGUUUUUCAUCUUCUGAACCAGCCCUCUCUAGGCAUUUUCGCGGUGAGGGACCAGUCCCAGCUCGGGGAGACCGGUCCCCGAGAGCCUUCCAUCUCGGGGAGAAGGAUUUCGCGUUCGGGAACUGGUCCUUGCCUGAGAGACCGGUCCCUGGGAGACGGGUCCUUGUCCGAGAGACCGGUUCCCGAGAGGUAGAUUUUCGGGACUUAGCCAAAAUUCGGCUGUUUUCGCUGGGCCAACGUUCGGGAACCGGUCCCUCACUGUCAGGGACCGGUCUCAUCAGAGACCUCCACAGCCCAGCCUGAUGGGACCGGUCCCUCCUUGCCAGGACCGGUCCCCGAGAGCAUUUCUGCUCCAGUGCAGAUUUUGCACUGGUGCUCUCGCGGACCCUUCCUUAAUGCACUUUAUGCAUUUUAAUCACCUUCGAACUUUCCGAAGCUUACACACUCGACGAUUCCAAUCGAAGUCAAAUCCACAAAUUUCGAGGAUUCACUUCCUUAUAGCUAAGAAACCCUUCGGUAUCCCCGACAGCAGUCGAGGAAUUGGAGAACACCUCAAUGCGUCAUAUGUGGCGGAGAGCACAAGGUGUCGACUUGCCCGCAGCGAGACGGCAAAUGUUUCAAGUGUGGCCAACCGGGACAUCUUAUCUAGGAGUGCCCGACAUGGACGUCGUCUGCGCCGACGGCUGCUUCAGCACCGUCCACCCCGAGACAGCUUGCGGGGUUGCCACCAGCGAUGUCGGCUGGGCGCGCGUCAUCACCGCGUCAGCCGGAGGGAUCGAGAGCGCCUAGCGGCCGAGUCUUUGCCGCUCAGGUGGAGGAGAAACAGCCUGCAGCACCCGACGACGUCGUGGCAGGUAUAAUUACGAUUAAUGGCACUAGAGCUAGAACAUUGUUCGAUACUGGUGCAUCACGAUCAUUCGUAGGCUCAAAGUUUGCAAAGGCACAUGGCAUAGAGAUGACGCAUAAUGAGGAUUACUGGUGGGUGAAUGGUCUCGAGCACUCAUUUCGCGUUCAUGAUGAGUGCUUGGAGGUUCCGGUGCAAGUUGGCGACUGGAUCAUGCCAAUAGACCUACUGGUGCUAGACCGGAUGUGGGGCUUCGAUGUUAUUUUGGGGACCAAUUGGCUCUCCAAAUACUAUGCGGUCAUAGAUUGUGAAAGUAAGGUUAUCACUUUUCGUGAGCCUAACCAAGAAGAAUUUGUGUACCGGGCGUGCAAAGGCGCGCACUUCGCGGCAACUAUAUCGUCGGUGAGGGCCAAAAGAAUGAUCAAGGGAGUAUGUAAGGCCUAUUUGGCAACCAUGGUUGAUGGCCGUAGGGAGCACCCUGAUCUUGGAAGUAUCCGGGUUGCGCGCGAGUUUCCGGAUGUAUUUCCGGCGGAGUUACCGGGAUUGCCACCGGACCGGGAAGUUGAGUUCGUUAUUGACUUGAUUCCCGGGGCGGAACCAGUUUCGAAGGCUCCGUAUAGAAUGGCACCGGUAGAGCUAAAGGAGUUGAAAGGCCAACUACAAGACUUGCUCGAUAAAGGCUUUGUGAGGCCGAGCGUGUCACCAUAGGGAGCUCCGGUGCUAUUUGUAAAGAAGAAAGACGGCACACUUCGACUCUGCGGGGAUUAUCGCGAGUUGAAUAAGGUAACGAUAAAGAAUAAGUACCCGUUGCCGAGGAUUGACGAUUUAUUCGAUCAGUUGCAAGGGUCCAAAGUGUAUUCAAAGAUUGAUCUCCAAUCGGGGUAUCAUCAACUAAAGAUAAGGCCGAAAGAUGUGAACAAAACGGCGUACCGGACGCGGUGUGGCCAUUACGAGUUUACGGUAAUGCCGUUUUGGCUUACUAACGCCCCGGCAGCAUUUAUGGACUUGAUGAAUCGAGUCUUCAGGCCGUUGUUGGACCGGUGCGUCGUGGUGUUUAUAGACGACGUGUUGGUUUACUCGAAAAGUAAAGAGGAGCACGAAGAGCACCUGAGGGCUGUGUUGCAGAUACUCAAGCAGGAGAAGCUCUAUGCGAAGUUGAAGAAAUGUGACUUUUGGCUAAAGGAGGUCACAUUCUUGGGCCAUGUGGUGUCGGGCGACGGAGUGUCCGUAGACCCGAAGAAAGUGGAGGCGAUCAAAGAUUGGCCUCGCCCGACGAAUGUAGCGGAGGUCCGCAGUUUUCUUGGACUCGCGGGCUACUACCGGCGGUUUGUGGAGGGGUUCGCCAAAAUAACCACUCCGCUAACGCGCCUUACGCAUAAAGGAGUAAAGUAUGUUUGGAGCAACGAUUGCGAUCGGAGCUUCGAGGAGUUAAAGAACAGGUUGACGUCAACCCCGGUGCUUGCCUUGCCGACUCCGGGGAAGACUUUUGUAGUGUAUAGUGAUGCCUCGUAUGUUGGUCUCGGGUGCGUGUUAAUGCAAAAUGGGCGAGUCAUUGCAUAUGCAUCGCGCCAGCUAAAGAGUUAUGAGAAGAACUACCCGAUUCAUGACCUUGAGUUAGCCGCGGUGAUUUUCGCGCUGAAACUUUGGAGGCACUACUUAUACGGUGAGCAUUGCGAGGUCUAUAUAGAUCAUAAAAGUCUAAAGCACUUGUUCACCCAGAAAGAGUUGAAUAUGCGACAGCGGCGGUGGUUGGAGUUGUUAAAGGACUAUGAUGUCACUAUACUAUACAACCCCGGAAAAGCCAAUGUUGUGGCCGAUGCUCUAAGUAGAAAAUCGGCGGAUAAUCUAGCGACGGCGAUUACGCCUCAGCCGCUAUUACACAAGGAAAUGCAACGUCUUGGGUUGGAAAUGGUAGCGCCGGGAGUGCCAGCUACACUUGCCGCAUUAGUUGUGCAACCGACCCUAUUCGAGAGAAUCAAAGAGUUACAAACUUCGGAUCCUUAUCUUCAAAAGGUUCGAGGUGAUGUUGAGAAUGGUAGUGCCGAAGAUUUUGGCAUUGGAGCUGAUGGCGCACUUCGAUUUAGAAAUCGUUGGUGCGUGCCUAAGGAUGAUGACUUGCGAAGGGCGAUUAUGCAAGAAGCACACCAAUCUCCCUAUAGUAUACACCCCGGCGGCACUAAAAUGUACAAGGACUUGAAAGAGCAUUAUUGGUGGCCGGGCAUAAAAAGAGAUAUUGGGGAGUUCGUGGCGCAGUGUCUAACGUGCCAAUAAGUGAAAGCGGAGCACCGAUUUCCAGCGGGAAAGCUACAAAGUCUGUCAAUACCCGUAUGAAAAUGGGAAGAUAUAGCGAUGGACUUUGUUACCGGCUUGCCUCGAUCACAAGGCGGACACGAUGCGAUAUGGGUAAUAGUGGAUCGAUUGACAAAGUCCGCACACUUCUUGCCGAUACAUACUACGUGGACGGGAGACAAGCUAGCGCAGGUUUAUCUCGACGAGGUUGUGAAACUUCAUGGGGUUCCAGUGUCGAUCAUAUCGGAUCGAGACCCCAGGUUCACAUCCCACUUUUGGAAGGGUUUGCAAGACGCACUAGGCACGCGGCUCGACUUUAGUACAGCGUUUCAUCCUCAGAGUGAUGGACAAUCAGAGCGGACGAUACAGAUCCUUGAGGACUUGCUUCGAGUGUGUGUGCUAGAUUACAAAGGAGGCUCGCAUGAUUUCUUGCUGAUGGCGGAGUUCGCCUACAAUAAUAGCUACCAAGAAAGCAUAGCGAUGGCGCCUUUUGAGGCACUAUAUGGUCGAAAGUGUCGUUCUCCUAUCCAUUGGAGCAACGUGGGCGAGAGAACGGCUCUUGGCCCGGAAGUAGUGCAGGAGGCGGAGGAGAAAGUUCGCCUUGCCCGUCAACGGUUAGCGACGGCGCAGUCGCGGCAAAAGAGUUACGCCGACAAGCGAAGAAAGGAUUUAGAGUUCGCGGUUGGAGACCGCGUGUUUUUAAGAGUAUCGCCAAUGCGCGGAGUAAAACGUUUUGGGGUCCGCGGGAAGCUAAGUCCCCGUUAUGUUGACCAUUUGAGAUAUUGGAACGUGUAGGUGCGGUAGCGUACAAGCUCGCACUACCACCGAGACUCGCGGGAGUUCACAAUGUGUUUCAUGUGUCCAACCUUCGAAGGUAUAUUCGCAACUCGACACAUGUAUUGGAGUAUGAGCCCGUAGAGUUACGUGAGGAUAUGUCUUAUGAGGAGUACCCGGUGUGCAUCCUCGAUCGAGAAGUAAGGAAGUUGCGGAGUCGCAAAAUUCCCUAUGUGAAAGUCCAAUGGAGCAACCAUGCGGUGCGAGAAGCCACUUGGGAGCUCGAGGAAACGGUACGGCGGGACUACCCGCAUUUAUUCGAGUCAACGAGUUAAGGUAUGUGUAAUUUCGCGGACAAAAUUAUUUUAAGGGGUGGAGAAUGUAAUAUACCGAAAAUUCGGAAAGCAAAUAUCGAACUUUAGUCAAAUUGACCAAAGUCCGAGAAUUGUACACUUCGGAAAGCCCGAAGGUGUUAAAAUGAGUAAAAGCGAGUUGUGGAAGGUUUUCGAGAGCUAAGGAAUAAAAAAUCUGCAAACUGCAGGUUUUCAGCUCUCGGGGACCGGUCCCUGAAGGAGAGAUCGGUCUCCGAACGCGUGUGAAAUGAGACAGCCAAAAUUUGGCUAAGUCCCUGAAGACCAGCUCUCGGGAACCGGUCCCUGCCUGAGAAACCGGUCCCCCGGAGACCGGUCCCCCUAAAGAGAGACCGGUCGCAUCGCGCGCAGCAGCUCUGGCUGGGCUGGGACGAGCUUCGGGAACCGGUCCCUGAUGGAGAGACCGGUCCCCGCCUGCGCGAACAGCCCAGUCCAGGCUAUGUGAAAGAGAAAAAAGUUGAGGAGUUUAAUUGCAAUUUGGCAACCCAUAGAGUGUAGUAAGAGGGCAAAUGAGAUAUUUCUCUCAUUUCUCACCCUUUGACACUCUCUCCUCCCUUUCUCUCUUUAGAAGACAAGAAGGGAAAGAAGAAGACAAGGAAAAGAAGAAGAAGAAAAGGAGAAAGAAUGUGAAGUAGAGGCUAAGAAGUAAAGCUACUUCCUCUUCUUCCUCUUUGGAGCAAGCUUUGAGGUAGGCCUUGCCCCUUCUCAUGAUAAAACCCAAGCUAGGGUUUGGAUUAGGCUAAGAAUGAGUUUUAUGGAACCAUUUGGGUAUUUGAAGCUUUCUUUUUGUUUCUUUUGAAAUCAAGACCAUGGCAUGAGUGUGGGAGGUGAAGCUUGAAGGAGAGCUCCACCACCUCUCAUGGUGAAACACUAAGUAGGGUUUUGACUUGUCUAAAAAUGGUUCUAAUGGACUUUUAGAGUAUAAUGAAGCUAUUUUUGCAUCCCAAUGAGAUCAAACCCUAGGUUUGAUGAUACUAUGGAGCUAGGGCACCCAAAUUGGGGCUUUUGCUCAUGAGGAUUUCUAAGUAAAAUUGACCCUAUAGAAACCUAAUUGGGGGUAUUUCCGACGCGUUGGUGCGCUCGGAUUAACGUUACGAAAAGUGUAUGUAAAGAUAUGAGCAAAAUGGCCUAAGUUGGCUUUGUUUUGCCGCAGGUGAAGAACGGGGAGUCUAAAAAUCCCAAGAAAAUCGUCGGAGCACCUAAAUAGACCUACGAGGUAGGUGGUGCUUUUCAAACUUGUUGAACUUCCCUCUAUGCCUAAUGUGUCACUCAAUUGAGCAUAUGCAUAUACAUUGUUGCAUGCAUUUUAGGGUAAUGUAAUGAUAAAAAUGUGAUGUUGCAUGAUUGUGAGCACAACUUGCAAAAUGUGAUGGUUAAGAACCUUAUGAAUGUCGAAAACCCUAUAUGUAUGCAUGAGAGAAAAUGUGAGAACCUAAGUGAGGCAAAAGAACAGAGCGACACAUGACAUAGAUCGAGUGGCAUUCGGAAAUGUAAUGUAAAGUGACACUAGAGUUAGUGUGAGGCAAAGGAUCAAAGUGAUGUAAAGAAUGAUGACAAUGACUAAAGUUAAAAUAAGUGGGACGUAAAGAACGUAUAAAGAGUAAAGAACAUGAAUGCUAAAGAUAGCCAAAAGUAAGAAAAUGUAAAGAACGUAAUUGCUAGAAUUAGCAAAAGUAAAAGAAAUGUAAAGAACAAUGAUUGCUAGAGUGGCAACAUAAAGUGAUGUAAAGAACACUAGAGCUAGUGUAAAGUCAAGAUUGAGCAUACAAUCCUUUGAGUUAAGGAUUUGAUCAUACUUGCUAUGAGUUCCGUGCUCGAGGGCGGUCGCUCCCCCUCGGGCGAUGCGCUCCGGAGUUAUGCAUCACGGGUUGGAGUAAACUCGAAGGACGGUCCUAGCGGAUGAGUUCCUACGAUGAUGGACUUAAUGUGAAGCAAGUUAAUGUGGCGAAACCCCUGGGUUAGCCUUGAGAUUAAAGAAUAAAGAACAAAGAGUAAAGAACAAAGGACAAAGACAAAGUGUAAAGUGUUAAGAACGAAAGAAUUUGCAUAAUCUGCAUAUGUUAAUGUUGAGCAUAUUUUCUGCUUAUUGUUCAGGCAUAUAGCAUCAUGUUAUAGAUUGGUUACUAUAUUCAGCUUAUCCCUUUCUAUAUGCCUGAGUUAGUCCUAGUGGGAAAGUCGGUGAUGUUGAGGCCGAACCCACUGGAAACUUUGUUGUAGUUUUAACCCCACUAUUUCUACAGAGUCGGGACCGAGUGAGCCGGCGAGCGACCGCGGUAAAGGUAUCGCGCCUCAGACAAAGGCCACCGGAGUUGAGUUGGGUUUACAUUUUGUUAGUAGAGUACCCUAUGUUCAUCUUUUGUAUUUGAUGACUAGUGAUGUAAAGAAAAGAAUGUAAAGCUUAUUUUGAGGUAAAUGUGAUGUAAAAAGAAAUGAUGUAAUGAAAUGUAUGGAAGUUGGACUUAAUGUAUAUGAUCUAAAUUGAAUCAUAGUACAAGUGAAUGUUUAGUUUCCUAUCUCUCACUCAUGGCUAUUGCUUACCCUCGUGUAAGCCGUAUUUGUAUGUUUCCGCUAGUGCACUUCUUUUGAAAAUGUACAUGUGAUGAGCCUUGGGCGGACAGGGGAAACUCCGUCCGUUCGGCGUCUGUUUGACGUGCUCGGGCCAGCCCAAAUUGGUAUCGGUCCCGGGGCGUGACACUACCAGCCAGCAAGCAUCACACGAGCGCAUGGAGAGAGGAGGAGAAACCCUCCUUUCUCUCUCUAAAGAUCUCUCCCAUCUCUCUAAAUCUCUCUCUAAAAAUUGGAGGGUUGGUGGAGAAGAUGCUUGCGAACGCGUUGGAGGCGACGGAUCGAGCUUUCGUACGCCCGUUGGAGCGGCGUGUUUUCGUCGCGACAUUCACAUUUUGGUAAGAGAUUGGGAUUUUGUUUAAAUCCUUCAUGAAUGAUGUUCUAGUAGUAUCUAGAGUGUUCUAAACAUGUUGCUCCAUUUUUAUUUGGAUUAUUUGGAGGUUAAUUGCAUAUUAGGACCGAAUGGGGUUUUGUAAAAUAGUAGGGUUUGAUCUCAUUUGACCCUUCGUAAACCUAAUUGCUAGGUAAACGAACGCGUUGGCGAAGUCGGUUCGGCGAUUCGUUGAGCCGUUGUAAGAUAUUAAAGAAAAUGACGUUUAGGCUUCGUUUCCGCCUACAGGGCUGAGGCGACAUCGUAAAGUCAUGAAAAUGGAUUUGGAGCACCGUGGGACAUAACCGAAGACCUAUAAUUUUCGGUGCCGCGAUUCGACGCACGGUUGGUGAGUAUUAGCAAAAUCGGGCCGAACCGGAUUAUGGGUGCCGCGGGAGGCCGAUUGCAAGUGUCGACAAGCAAUCGGAAAGCGAUUUGAGGUGGGUCGUGUUUACCGAAGCGACUAGGUCGCCUGUAUGUCUAAGACAAGUGUUUAUCAUUGAUGCAUAUUAUGGUAGCUAGUGGUAGAAUGUUUAAAUGCAUGAAAUGAAUGCUAUGUUAGGCUACCAAAUAAUGCAUAUGAUCAUAAUGUGAGAAUGUUAAAUAAUGCAUAAUAACAUAGUGUAAAUAAUGCUAAGUGGAAAGUAUAAAGUAAAUGACAUAUGUUAGUCAUGUUGCAUGUAUAGAAAUGCUAAUGUAAGAAUGUUAAGUGGAUGCAUGUUGUAAGUGCUAAAGGAAAUGCAUGCUAAUGAUGUAAUAUAAAUGAUGCUAGUUAAAAGCAUGAGGUAAAUGACAUUUGCAUGUUAACAUAAAGUAGAGAACAUGCUAGUUGUAAUGCAUAAUGAUAAGUUAUAAAGAAUGCUAGUUUGAAUAAGCAUGUUAUAUAAAUGCUAGAUAAUGCAUGUUAAUUAUCUAAAGAUAGAUGCUAAGAGAUUGCACAUGGAGUGACACAAUGUUAAUGCUAGAUGAUGCAUUCUAACAUAUAGAGGUUUAUGUUAAUGGAAAUGUGUAUAUGGACAAUCUAUACAUUAGAUCGAGUGGCAUUAAACCUAGUGUCCUGAACAUAGGAUGAACAUGAAUGAUAUGAACCUAAUGUUAGUAAACCUAGGUCGGACAUGAAGGACAUAUGAACCUAGUGUAAAUAUACAUAGGUUGGACAUCAAGUGACAUUGAACCUAGUGUUAAAGAACAUAGGUUGGAAUCAGGUGUGGCAUUUAAUCUAGCGUUAAAGAACAUAGGUUGGACAUGAACCUAGUGUUAAAGAAAGUAGUUAAACAAGGUUUAACACAAAGUGACAUUGUGGCUUGGUAUUAGCGGUAUAUGCAUGAUUAGGUAAAAACCUAUCAUUGGCAUUGAGGAAUAGAAAUAUGAAACAGGUUGGCUAUUACCUCUUCAAAUUGAGGAUGGGAUCAUACUCACAUGUAUUGGUUCCGGCUUGUGGGAGGUCGCUCCUCCACAAGCGGUGUACUCCGGAGUGUAGACACCACGGGUGAGAGUGCUCGGCGAAGAUGAAAGGAAUAAGAUUGCAAUAAUUUGUAAUAAAAGUAUGAUUGUAUUUGGAAGUUAAAUGUAAAAUGUAAUUGUGAUGUAAAAUAUAUCUAGUGAAUGUGAAUGCUUAUAAUAACAAGUAGAUUAUGUUUUUGAUACUUCCUUAUGCAAUCUUUGUUUGAAAUGUGUUUCUGGUUGGAACUUCAUACACUGUAUUGAUUGCGACGCCUUGAAUGUACAGGGAAAACCCUGNGUAGAGAUAGAAGUGGCGAAAUGACUCUCAGAGCAAUGUGAAUAGUAAAUUGUGAGAGUUGAGCCAUGAUGCUUAUGAGAACACCCGAGUGGUCCGAAAAUUUCGGAUGUCAUUCCGGUAGAUCGAACAGUGAAAGUAGCACCACUGUUGAAAGAACCGUCGAUUAGUGGCCAAGUUUGAGCACGUGGGCCUAGUAGUACUUCAAGGUGAGGUAGGCAGUUGUGCUCGUGCGGCCGGUGUGCAUAGGCAAGAUUGCCUAAUGCUGGACUUUGUGUGGAACGCUGCAGAAGCGUAGAGCGCUCGAGCGUAGAUACCCAUAGAGUGCGGAUGUGGAUUUAGCCGAGAGAGUGUAUUGGCAAUAGCACUUGAGCAUUGCUAGGUGUGAAGCGUGCCAUGGAUCACUCGUGGAACUGGUGACUCGCACUAGGUGCAUAGGAGCCGAUAUUGGUACGUGUGACUCGGUAGAGUAUGUCGUGUAGGACGACGACGGCGGGUAGUGCUUGGGGACGACCUGUGCCUGGACCAUUUGUGAACUGUGGAGCCUGGGCCCAUUGGGCAGGUGCAGUCAGCUGUGAGUGACAGCGGCCCGGUACCUACGGGUAGGGCAGAGUUUGGUCAGGACGGUAGUCCGAGCUGAGACCCAGGAGCGUGGAAUGCCACGUGAUAGAUUGUGUGACCGAUGGUACACCGAGUAUGGUUAUGACCCAACCUGAGGAUUUGACGUGGUUUGGGGUCUUAGUUGCUCCUGGUUGGAGUGUGUGCGAAUUCCCAAGUGAGAAUUUCGCCCGAUGAUGAUUGAGUCUGCAUUUGAGAGCAAGAGACGCUGCAUGUUGAGAUAGGUUUAGGCGGUAGGCCUACGUAGGAUUGGUGGCCUUUGGUCCACCUGUGGAGACCGAAGAAAGUGAUUUGGCAGAUAGCCUUAUCAAGGAGUUUGACUCGAAUUUACGAACGAAGCGCUCGCGUGAGCUCGUUGCGAAAAUAGUUUGAUAUUAAUCGUGGCAUGUGGUAUCAGAUGUUGAAGUACUCAUUGUGAGACGACGAACUAGUAGAAAGCCACGUGAUGUUGGAGACUAUGCUCGUAGACAAACUAAGACUUGAGAGGUGCCGAAGUAGGCUAUCUCACGUUAAAGUUAAAGGUCGGUGCGAAAUUAGAGCACUCACGACGGAGCGAUGCACCGGUGAUAUUGCUUCUAAGCAAUGUCGGUGAUCGAAUCAGAAUGUAUUCCCUGAAGGGAAGGUGAGUGCAAAGAAGAGUUCUUUGCGUACCGAAUGGAGAGUGGUGUUGGAGCGCGUAGAGUCGUCGAGUAUCGACUUGCGCUGCCACUAUGACUUGCAAGACCCGUGAUGUACUUUUGUAUCACACUUUGCAAAUGUGUUUAGGAUUAAACCCACGUCCUUCAGUAUGAGUCGCUUCUGGAACCACGAUAGUGUGAAGCUGCUUUGGAGUGGGAGAAUGAGUUGGUACCCUCAAUUGCUCGCGGAGCUGAAUUGAGGCGUCGUUUGAAUUUCGCGGACGAAAUUCUUUUAAGGGGUGGAGAAUGUAACAUACCAGAUUUUGGUAUAAAAAUAAAAAUAAAUAAAUAGUGUACGAUAUUAUUUUUAUUGGAUUUAGGGAAGUAAAACAUAAGUCAAAAAUGACUUGUGCUGAAAUCGGAAUAAAAACAGAAGAUUUAGAAUUUUCUGUUGGAAACGGGACAGAUAAAUUAGCAGGAAAUGCACAGUGUCAGAAAAUUAUGAAAACUGGAGGAUAAGUCAGAAUUAUUUUUAUGAGGCUGGAUUUAAAGUUUCAUGCCAUUCUGACGUCCGGAAGGUGGAAAAUAAAAUCCGACAGUUAUCUGAUAAAGAUUACAAUUCGGUACAGCUUUCGGUGACCAAACGGGGUCGAAACUGAAAUAUUAAAAUUUCUUUGGACUCGUUAAGUAAAACCGAACAUGACUGUCAAAUUUGAGGUUAAACGGAUAUUCUGGAAGCUCCGGCAAAAGAUAUCAGAUUUCGAGUUGCCUGGAGUGAAUAGUGUUUGGUGUUGACUAUAAGUAUAAGCUA
rnacentral:lncRNA from 1 species